ensembl:lncRNA
UUUUGUUGUUGUUGUUGUUGUUGUUUUAUAUUAAAAACUUACUCUCUUACCUACUCAUUUGAGUUUUAGGUCUUUAAUUGUGAAAACCUCUGUAUCCUGAAUGUGAGGCUUUUAUUUUGAACGCUUGCAAGAAAUUAGUUUUUUAUCCACUUGGAGCAUUUUGUUUUGAAGCAGAUCCGGCUGCCCGUUGCUGUGUGUGUGUGUGUGUGUGUGUGUGUGUCAGCUGUUGAGGUCAGAUUGUGUGAGGAGGCGGGAUGAGGCUCAGUGUGUGUGUGAUCGCAGCCUGAUUAACACACACGGUCCUCAGCCUCCUCUUGAACACACACACACACUCCGUGACUUUUCGGCUCUCCAUCAUGGACCUGGACCCCGCCGUCAUCAUCCCCGCCAUCCUCUUCACCGUCGUUGCCAUUUAUUUCGCUACGUCGCUCCUCAGCAGGAAGCCCGACGCCUCCUCCUCGUCUGCCGGGAGCAAGAAGUCCAAACUCGGGUACAGAGACGACCUUCCUCCGCAAGGAGCUCUGGAAGAAGAGCCCGAAGCCUCCCUGCGACCAGAGCCCCCAGCUCCGGCUGUGGAGGACAUAGGAGCCGCCGAGAAGAUCCAGGCUGUCCCAGAACCACAACAUGUCCCUGAACCAGUGAAGAUACCAGAAGCUGAGCCAGAAGCAGCAGAAGAUCCAGAGGACAGAGAAGCAGUCACAGCACCAGAACCUGUGGCACAACCAAAAAAAGUGCCAGAGACAAGAGCAGAACGACCACCGGCGCCAGAAGCAGUCCCUGAACCAACAAAAGAGCCAAAGUCUGUUCCAGAACCAGUCACAGUAUCAGAACUUGUCUCUGAAGCUGUGUCAGGCCCAGAACCUGUUCUUGAACCAGAUGAAGCACAAGAAGCAGCACCAGUGUCUGAACCCAUACCAGGCUUGGUAUCAGGCCCAGAACAAGCUGCAGAACCUACCCCAGAGUCCAAACCUGUAGCAGAGCCCUUAUCAGAACCAGCCAGGUCCCCUGAACUCAUAUCUGAACCCAAAACUGUCCCAGAACCUGUUACUGAUCCAGAGCCUGUGCUCGUGUCUGAAGUGGCAGCCCAGAAGCCCGCGACUGAACCUGAAGAACUGCUUGAGCAGAUGCCCGGACCCAAUGAAGGUCUGACAGAACCAUCGCGUGAGCGGGAACCCGAACCAGAGACCGUCCUGGAUGACGAUGUGGCUGCAGCUGCUGAUGUGCUGAACUUCACCCCGGGAAUGAAACAGAGUAAGGUGGCGGUGCUGAUGACCCAGGAGGACAUGGAGGAGGAGCAGAGCUGAUCCGUGAGGAUGAGGAGCGCUGAAGAGAUGGAGAUCAGACCCUGCAGAAAGUCCUGCCUGCUUUCUUCUCUUGUUGUUGAGUUUUGAGGUUUGAGCUGCUUGUGAAAAGUAAACAUCUUCACACCAAAGUGCCUUCAGGAGUUUCUUUACUGUCUGCUUUUCGUGUCCAGCCUUUCUGAAGCAAACAAAUUAAUUAUGUGAGUGAAUGUUAAUGAAGUUAACCUCAGUAUAACCUAGUUCUCACUGCUGGUUUCAAAUGAAAAAAGACAAUUAGACGACAAGCUGCAAUAAAACGUUCCUGCUAGCUUCAGUGUUCAGUUGUGAUUUUAAAUGUUAACCAUGAAAUAAAAGUGUGAAACAUGUUGUUGAUUCUUUCUGAUCUUUGUUUUGUAAAUUCUGGAUUAUUAAAAAUACUUUUGCCCAUUCUCAGUAUUUGUUUACUCUUUCCUGUUUCCUGUUUUUGCUUCAAAGUUUAGGUGGAGCUGACAGAGACAAUAGCACCAUCAGGUGCUUGUUUAGAGGCAACACAUGCAAAACUAAAAGUGUAACCACAGACGACAUAAAAAAUGAAUGUCCCUCCAAAAAUGGUAAACCUGCAUUAAGACCUCCUCUGGCUGUAAGAGGUCAGGAGGUGAGCCUGCUGCUCAGCUGAUCUCUGAGCUCAGCAAGCCGGUCGGGUCGAUGGUCUCGGUCUCUGGUUUCAGGUCG